rnacentral:rRNA from 1 species
UACGUAGGGUGCAAGCGUUGUCCGGAAUUAUUGGGCGUAAAGAGCUCGUAGGCGGUUUGUCGCGUCGACUGUGAAAACCCGAGGCUUAACCUCGGGCCUGCAGUCGAUACGGGCAGACUAGAGUUCGGUAGGGGAGACUGGAAUUCCUGGUGUAGCGGUGAAAUGCGCAGAUAUCAGGAGGAACACCGGUGGCGAAGGCGGGUCUCUGGGCCGAUACUGAUGCUGAGGAGCGAAAGCGUGGGGAGCGAACAGG